GGCGCGGUGGCCUAAUGGAUGGUGUGUUGGAGUCUGGAUCAAGCGGUCCGGGUUCGAGCCCUGGCCUGGGUCA